AAACUUUUUUCUUUGGAGUUGCUUAAAUGUCGUUGGGAUUUUUGAUGAUGCCUUCCCUAUGUGGAUUACUACAAUUUGAUCACUAGGAAUUCUCCACCUUAAAGAAGACGAUUUUGCCGUUUGGAAACUUAUAUCCACGUCUUUGACUGCGGGUCACAAUUGCUUUCCUCACAGUCUGGUUGGGAGAGUUGUUAAACACUGGAAUGUCCUUCUGAGGUGGGCUGUGGAAUGUCAUUUCUCUCAGGAGACUACAGAAGCAUCAACGCCCA